AUUCUGAACCGAGAUAAUGUUGGUUGGAGGACUCACAGUGGGGAAAUUUCCUGAAGCUUCAAUCACCUCAGCCAAUCCCCAUCUCGUCGCCAAGACUUCUCAGUACCAACAACACGUCUUCUGCUAUACCAAUUCUGCCAUUGCCCAGGCUGAUUGUAUCCAAAGCAACUCUUAUUUCUUAGGUCUCCACAGCAGCUUCGACUCACUGCCCAACUGCCUCACCAAUUACCUCCUCUGCGGCACUCUAUUCUCUUGCAAUUUCUAUACCUCACAACCAACAGCAAGCAACAACGGUCAGCAAGUGCAGGCAGCAGAGAAACACCACAACCACCCUUCUUCUCUAGCAGCAGCACCAGAACAACAAGCAGCUCCAGCAAACUCAGCAGUAGCAGUCACAGACCAAACCAGCUGCACACAACAGCAAUCGGCAGACUUCCUCCUUCAAUCAGCAAAACCAGCAGCAAGUCAACUCAGCACCACGCACAGCAACUCCCGCGUGCUCACCCAGUAGCAGCCGCAGAUCCGCAGCAGCAACAAGCCCAAGGAACAAGCCCAAGGAACAGCACAAGACAGCCAGCACAACACUUCAGCUCUCCACCACCGCUCCUCCUCUGCUCCUCCUCUGCCUCGACCUUGCCUCCUCCCGCGCAGCACACGCGCGCCAGCAACCACACCGAGCAGCUCCCCCUCCUCUGCAGCCGCCCGAGGAUGAGGAAGAGCUCGAGCAGGGGCUCUGCCUCCGGUCCAAGAAGCAGCAGCAGCCGCCUCCUGCGCAGCCCCGCCGGGCCGCUCUCCGCGUCGCACGCUACCCACCAAGCUCCGCGCACGCGCGCGCUCGCACACGCCCAGAUGUGCUGCGCUCUCGUCGCCGGACUCCGCCACCUCACCGGCAACUACACCACCGGCGCCGCCGCCUCCAAUGAACCUAGCUCCGAUGCCAUGUUGGUUGGAGGACUCACAGUGGGGAAAUUUCCUGAAGCUUCAAUCACCUCAGGUGCUCUUCCUUCACCUCUGUAUAUACAAUGUACAAAUUACAUAUUAGCCCCUACACAGUUCUAUUUUCCUAAGCUAGGAUCUCCAACAGAUACACAGCUAUAG
rnacentral:rRNA from 1 species